UACAGGGGGUGCAAACGUUGCUCGGAAUUAUUGGGCGUAAAGCGCGCGUAGGCGGCCACUUAAGUCGGAUGUGAAAGCCCCUGGCUCAACUGGGGAAGUGCACCCGAAACUGAAUGGCUUGAGUGCGAAAGAGGGUCGCGGAAUUCCCGGUGUAGAGGUGAAAUUCGCAGAUAUCAGGAGGAACACCGGUGGCGAAGGCGGGACUCUGGGCCGAUACUGACGCUGAGGAGCGAAAGCGUGGGGAGCGAACAGG
rnacentral:rRNA from 1 species